rnacentral:rRNA from 1 species
UACGUAGGGGGCAAGCGUUGUCCGGAUUUAUUGGGCGUAAAGGGCGCGCAGGCGGUCUUUUAAGUCAGAUGUGAAAGCUCACGGCUCAACCGUGGUAAGCAUUUGAAACUGGAAGGCUUGAGUUAAGGAGAGGAAAGUGGAAUUCCUAGUGUAGCGGUGAAAUGCGUAGAUAUUAGGAGGAAUACCAGUGGCGAAGGCGACUUUCUGGACUUAUACUGACGCUGAGGCACGAAAGCGUGGGGAGCAAACAGG